rnacentral:rRNA from 1 species
UGGUUUAAUUCGAAGAUACGCGAAGAACCUUACCUGGGCUUGAUAUCCUAAGAACCUUUUAGAGAUAAGAGGGUGCUAGCUUGCUAGAACUUAGAGACAGGUGCUGCACGGCUGUCGUCAGCUCGUGUCGUGAGAUGUUGGGUUAAGUCCCGCAACGAGCGCAACCCACGUAUUUAGUUGCUAACGGUUCGGCCGAGCACUCUAAAUAGACUGCCUUCGUAAGGAGGAGGAAGGUGUGGACGACGUCAAGUCAUCAUGGCCCUUAUGCCCAGGGCGACACACGUGCUACAAUGGCAUAUACAAUGAGACGCAAUACCGCGAGGUGGAGCAAAUCUAUAAAAUAUGUCCCAGUUCGGAUUGUUCUCUGCAACUCGAGAGCAUGAAGCCGGAAUCGCUAGUAAUCGUAGAUCAGCCAUGCUACGGUGAAUACGUUCCCGGGUCUUGUACUCACCGCCCGUCACACCAUGGGAGUUGAUUUCACUCGAAGCCGGAAUACUAAACUAGUUACCGUCCACAGUGGAAUCAGCGACUGGGGUGAAGUCGUAACAAGGUAACCGUAGGAGAACCUGCGGUUGGAUCACCUCCUUUCUA